rnacentral:rRNA from 1 species
UACAGAGGGUGCGAGCGUUGUCCGGAAUCACUGGGCGUAAAGGGCGCGUAGGUGGCGCUCCAAGUCUGUGGUGAAAGCUCGACGCUCAACGUCGAGUCGGCCACGGAGACUGGAGGGCUCGAGCACUGUAGGGGCAGAUGGAAUUCCGGGUGUAGCGGUGGAAUGCGUAGAGAUCCGGAAGAACACCGGUGGCGAAGGCGGUCUGCUGGGCAGUUGCUGACACUGAGGCGCGACAGCGUGGGGAGCAAACAGG